CUCCUUGGGAAAGAUUGGAACUGGCUUUAAGACCUCAUGAUUUGAUGUCCCUACGCCUUUUAAUUCUUCAAGAGGAGCAGUAGUAGAAGGCCAAAAUGGAUAAGGGAUUGGCAUAUAAGCAGGAUAGAAUCCAGGAACAAACUGUGUGAAUUCACUUAUCUGAGGAACAAUUAGAGUGGAUUCACUUAACUUGGGAACAGUUUGUUUUGAUUCGCUGGAAUCCAUCACUGUUUCUUCAGAAUCUUUAGCUGGAUCUUCUGAUGCAGUUUCCAUUGGUUCAUAUUCUGGCUUCAGAGA
rnacentral:misc_RNA from 1 species